rnacentral:tRNA from 1 species
AAAGAAUUAGUUAAAUUAUAACAUAAAUAUGUCAUAUUUAAAUUAUUAAUAUAAAUAUAAUAUUCUUUU